UCCCAUCCCGAACCCAGCCGUUAAGUGCCGUAGCGCCGAUGGUACUGCGUCUUAAGACGUGGGAGAGUAGGUCAUCGCCAAAC
rnacentral:rRNA from 2 species